GAUGAACGCUAGCUACAGGCUUAACACAUGCAAGUCGAGGGGCAGCAUGUCGGUUGCUUGCAACCGAUGAUGGCGACCGGCGCACGGGUGAGUAACGCGUAUCCAACCUACCCUUGUCCAUCGGAUAACCCGUCGAAAGGCGGCCUAACACGAUAUGCGGUUCACAGCAGGCAUCUAACGUGAACGAAAUGUGAAGGAGAAGGAUGGGGAUGCGUCUGAUGAGCUUGUUGGCGGGGUAACGGCCCACCAAGGCUACGAUCAGUAGGGGUUCUGCGAGGAAGGUCCCCCACAUUGGAACUGAGACACGGUCCAAACUCCUACGGGAGGCAGCAGUGAGGAAUAUUGGUCAAUGGACGAGAGUCUGGACCAGCCAAGUAGCGUGCAGGAUGACGGCCCUAUGGGUUGUAAACUGCUUUUAUAGGGGGAUAAAGUGUGCCACGUGUGGCAUAUUGCAGGUACCCUAUGAAUAAGGACCGGCUAAUUCCGUGCCAGCCGCCGCCGUAAGAC
rnacentral:rRNA from 1 species